UGCAGAAGGAUCAUUGUCGAU
rnacentral:rRNA from 1 species